GGUGGCUCAGUGGUAGAGUGCUUGCCUUGCAUGCAUGAGGCCUGAGUUCAAUUCCUCAGUACUA
rnacentral:tRNA from 1 species